rnacentral:rRNA from 1 species
CCUCAGCAUAAACCAAAGCCGGGAAAUACGAACAAAUUUUUGAAACCUAAAGACCUUGGCGGUGCCUUAUUCAAUCAGGGGAACCUGUCCCUUAAUACGAUAAUCCACGAAUAUCCUUCCUUUAUUUGUAACAUAUAUAUAAACAGCCUGUGUACUGCCGUCAAAAGCACACCUAAAAAAGAGUGUACUAAAAUAAUCUAAACCAUUUAUGUCAGGUCAAAGUGCAGCCAAUAUAAAGGAGGAGAUGGGUUACACCCUAUAAAUCAAGACACCCAAACCUGUAAGAAAUACAGACCAAAGAUGGACUUGAAAGUAACUUUUACUAUCAACUAAACGCGACUAGUAACCCAAGGCAUGCACACAUCGCCCGUCACUCUCGUCCAAAGAUG